rnacentral:lncRNA from 10 species
CUGCAAUGAGAUUUGAAUUUAUCUAGAACUUGUUUCAUUCUGAAAUCCUGGAUUCAGGCUCUCAUUUGGCUCCCUAUAUACAUCAUUUAAUUGAAGAAAAAGCUUGACUUUUCCAAUAACUAUUCUAAAAGUAUAAUUGACAGUAAGCUACAAUUUAGUUAGUUUGUAUUUGCAUUUGUGAUUUUCCUGUCAUAUGUGGACUGUUUUGCAUUUGCCAUGAUUGAAUCUCAUUUUGGAAGCAGAGUUUUAAUGAAGAGCUCUUUCUCAGAUAUAGGAAAUUUAAUGAGUGAGCACUUUCUCAUGGUGUAAAAUAUUCUACCAAAACCUUAUUUCCAAUAGGAGGGUCCAGAUAAUCAAAGCUUCGGAUCUCCUAAAACCUGGCUUUGCCUCUUACUUGAGAACUUUGCAAAGAAGAAUGCUAGCCAGUGAAUGUUCAGAGAGGAAGGAAGAAGAAGCUGUCCAAUGACCUUUUUUCUUAUGGCUUUCUAACUUGAUUCUUGACACUGUCACCAAGGAAGAAAAUUUCGCUCUCAAAACUGUUGGUGAGAGACCCCUUGAAGAGAGAACUUCUCUGUUCUUCUGGAGGAGAUGAUUUAGUAAGGCAGUGCUGGAGUUCAAACUGAGCCUCCACAGGCCUAACUUGCUUCACUUUUAAGCUUUUAGGAAGAGAGCUUUUAGAGAGAGAAAAUUGCUUUCCAAAAGGGAACUCUAGAAAGAGGACGAAUGAGCAGGGCUGAAACUUUGAGAGAAAAUGGAAGGAGUUGGAAGAUGGAGGGAGGAACCAAAGUAACUAAUAAGAAUUUCUGGGGCUGGGUGCAGUGGCUCACACUUGAAAUCUCAGCACUUUGGGAGGCUGAAGUCGUGGAUCACAUGAGUCCAGGAAUUCAAGAGCAGCCUGGGCAAUAUGGCAAGACCCCGUCUCUACAAAAAAUACAAAAAUUAGCUGGGCAUGGGGGUGUCUGUAGUCCCAGCUACUCGGGAGGCUGAAGCAGGAAGAUCCCUGGAGCCCAGAGGUUGAGGCUGCAGUGGGCCGUAAUCACGCCACUGCGCUCCAGCCUGGACGGCCAAGUGAGACUAUCUCAAAAAAAAAAAAAGAAUUUAUUAAUUUCUUCUUAUGAAAUAUACAAUAUAGGCCCCCUCUUUUUGCUCCUGUAUGAGAAUGUGAAGAAAAGUCUUUGGCUUGAUGUGCAGUCCUGAUUCCUCUGGAUUCCUUUUGGGAGAGAGGUUAGAACAAGAACUGAGGCCUGGUUCCAGUAAGUGCCUGGAUGCAGGACAGCAGGGUAGCUGACAUCCUGGAUAUGCAAAGUAACAGCAUGGAGAAUAAAGGAGUGAGGAAAAUUAAUAAAACAUGGAAUAUUUUAAUAAGACUGCAAGGAAGCAUACAGAGACACAUGGAAAAUACAAAGAUAGCUGUUUUAUUGUAGCAUGGACAUGGACUUUAUGGCUGGCAAUUUGGGCGUUUCAAGCUCUUUUUGUUGUUUACUUGUGGUACAUGUUUGACAAGUAAUUUCCAUUUUCCAAGUCAUUUUUUUCAUCUGUAAAAUGAGACUAAUUCAAAUAACUUCCCUCGAUAGGUUUCUAUUUUUGGUGAGAAUUGUUUUUUUCUUUUCAUGUAGUAUAUAUUUUAUUAGCUUGUACUAAUACAUUCUCAUAUUACAAAGUCAAUUUAGUGGAAGAAUCUUCCUUCUGAUAUUUGAUUCAUGUGAAAUAACACAAACAGAACUAUACAUUCAAAAAAAUUCUCAUUUAGAUAACAAAAAAAAGACAAGUUAAACAACAAAAAUCUUUUCCUUUCUCACAGGUGGACAUUGAAGUGGACCUAAUUCGGUUUUCCUUUUAAAAGCCCCCACAAACAAAAGUAGUUUGAAACCUAUUUAAAAU